rnacentral:ncRNA from 1 species
AAUGGGCAAACCUGUUGAAAAGCAGGGACGCAAAGCCAAGGGCCUUAGCUUGGGAGAGCAUGGCAGCCGGUUGC